UACGAAGGGAGCUAGCGUUGUUCGGAAUUACUGGGCGUAAAGCGCACGUAGGCGGCUUCUUAAGUCGGUGGUGAAAUCCUGGAGCUCAACUCCAGAACUGCCUUCGAUACUGGGAAGCUCGAGUCCGGGAGAGGUGAGUGGAACUGCGAGUGUAGAGGUGAAAUUCGUAGAUAUUCGCAAGAACACCAGUGGCGAAGGCGGCUCACUGGCCCGGUACUGACGCUGAGGUGCGAAAGCGUGGGGAGCAAACAGG
rnacentral:rRNA from 1 species